CGCCACUGCAGUGUUCCAAGCACUCGUCAACAACAUCCUCUGGAACAAGCUGAAUGACUUUGUUUUUGUCUAUCUGGAUGACAUCCUGAUAUUCUCACGCUCAGCCCAAGAACACGUUACCCACGUACACCGGGUCCUCCAUGACUCCUGGAGAGACGACAUGGCCCUGCAGUGACUCGGAUGACUUUCCUUUCAACUCUGUCCUUCACAGUAACCCUGAGUCUGGAAGGAUGGUUCGGCUGAGGGUGAUACAGCGUGAGACAUGAUAACACCACAGAACGAGGAUGACAAUCUGUCGAUCCACUCCUUAGAUGAGUCAGACCUUCUGACCCACCCUGCCUCGAGCUGCCCGGAGAAGCUGCCCGCUGUCCUCCCCCAGAAGGACGUGGACAAGAAGCAUGAAAACCUGGCCUCCAUGGACCUCAUCCUGGACCACAGUCUGAAGGAGUACACUGGAGACAGUCCGGAGAAGAGAGGGGGAUGCUUCCAGUGGCUGUUUUGGAGGAAGAAGGAGCGUGUGAAUGUCAAAG
ensembl:lncRNA